ensembl:snRNA RNU6-67P RNA, U6 small nuclear 67, pseudogene
AUGCUCAUUUCGGCAGCACAUAUAAUAAAAUUGAAAUGAUACAUAGAUUAGUAUGACCCCUGAGCAAGGAUGAUUCACAAAUUAGUUCCAUAUUUUU